AUUGAACGCUGGCGGCAUGCCUUACACAUGCAAGUCGAACGGCAGCACGGGAGCAAUCCUGGUGGCGAGUGGCGAACGGGUGAGUAAUGUAUCGGAACGUGCCCAGUCGUGGGGGAUAACGUAGCGAAAGCUACGCUAAUACCGCAUACGAUCUAUGGAUGAAAGCGGGGGAUCGCAAGACCUCGCGCGAUUGGAGGGGCCGAUAUCAGAUUAGGUAGUUGGUGGGGUAAAGGCUCACCAAGCCGACGAUCUGUAGCUGGUCUGAGAGGACGACCAGCCACACUGGGACUGAGACACGGCCCAGACUCCUACGGGAGGCAGCAGUGGGGAAUUUUGGACAAUGGGCGCAAGCCUGAUCCAGCGAUGCCGCGUGCAGGAUGAAGGCCUUCGGGUUGUAAACUGCUUUUGUACGGAGCGAAAAGGCUCUCUCUAAUACAGGGGGCUCAUGACGGUACCGUAAGAAUAAGCACCGGCUAACUACGUGCCAGCAGCCGCCGUAAAAC
rnacentral:rRNA from 1 species